rnacentral:lncRNA from 1 species
CUAGCUACUGUCUCUAACCAAGUUUCCAUCAAACUUUUUUAUGCAAGUAAAGUAGGCUACAUGUCGAAUAAAAAAAUGUCAAGACAGGCCUGAUGUAAACAGCAAAUUUGUCUGUAAACUUUCCAAAUGUCAACAAAAAAAUAUGCUGGACAAGAACUGUUUCCUCCAUACCAACUGCUUGAGGGUAAGAGGAGGGAGAGAAGAGAAGUGCUUGGCCAUGCUCAUAAUGCAUUGAAUGAGUAUUCAGCAGCACAGCUGGCCAGAGCUCCCUCUUGGUUCGGGAGCUCUUCUCUAGGUUGACACUGUCCCUGGCGAAGGAGUGAUAACACCCUAAUGAUUAACUUCAGAGAAACACGAGAGGAGAAUUGACUGAGAACACAUUCUCAUUUACAGCAACAACCUGGGGAAUAGUUACAGGGGAGAGAAGGUGGGAAAAAUGAGCCAAUUGGAAGCUGUGGAUGAUUAGGUGGGCAUGAUGGUAUGAGGGCCAGAUUGGGAAUUUAGCCAGGACACCAGGGUUAACACCCCUACUCUUACGAUAAGUGCCAUGGAAGGCACCUCUACCAUACCGACUCUCAUACCAUAAGAAACAAGAUUCUCUGGUGUGAUGAAACCAAUAUUGAACUCUUUGGCCUGAAUGGCAAGCGUCACAUCUGGAGGAAACCUGGCACCAUCCCUAAGGUGAAGAAUGGUGGUGGCAGCAUCAUGCUGUAGGGAUGUUUUUCAGCGGCAGGGACUGAGAGACUAAUCCGCAUCAAGGCAAAGAUUAACGGAGCAAAGUACAGAGAGAUCCUUGAUGAAAACCUGCUAGAGAGAGCUGAGGACCUCAGACUGGGGCGAAGGUUCACCUUCUAACAGGACAACGACCCUAAGCACACAGCCAAGACAACGCAGGAGUGGCUUCAUAUAUCAUAUGAUGCAAACUGCUCAUAAAUGCAUCAUACCGGCUGUAUUUCUGUACUUUGAAAGUUAAUAAUAUUUAAAGAAUUUAGAAAAUUCCAAAAACAAAUUCCCGUAAAUGUAUAUUUUAAGCUCAAAUAAUGCAACAAAAUAAUACAAAUAAAGUUUUCCUGCCGGAAAAGGAUUGACCCAACUUUCAAGAAUCCCUGAGCUAAUUUCCUGCUAUUCUAUACAUUUUUUCCAUGAGGCUGAGAGAAAAGGUUGCAGUUUUCAAGCUAAUUUCCUGUAAUUAAAAAAAGAAAAUCCAUGGCUUAUGACAUGUUCAUAUGCUAUCUGGGGUUCCGAC